UAAUUGAAGAGUUUGAUCAUGGCUCAGAUUGAACGCUGGCGGCAGGCUUAACACAUGCAAGUCGAGCGGUAGCACAGGGGAGCUUGCUCCCUGGGUGACGAGCGGCGGACGGGUGAGUAAUGUCUGGGAAACUGCCUGAUGGAGGGGG
rfam:Serratia sp. DD3 SRDD_contig000047, whole genome shotgun sequence.